UGCCAGCAGCCACGGUAAUACGGAGGGUGCGAGCGUUAAUCGGAAUUACUGGGCGUAAAGGGCGCGUAGGUGGCCGCGUAAGUCGGAUGUGAAAGCCCCGGGCUUAACUUGGGAAUUGCAUUCGAUACUGCACAACUAGAGUGUGGCGGAGGAAAGCGGAAUUCCCGGUGUAGCGGUGAAAUGCGUAGGUAUCGGGAGGAACAUCAGUGGCGAAGGCGGCUUUCUGGACCACAACUGACGCUGAGGCGCGAAAGCGUGGGGAGCAAACAGGAUUAGCUA
rnacentral:rRNA from 1 species